GGAUCCCAGCCAUUCUCGGAAAGAGAGUUUAGUCCUGUUACUGACUAUACUUAAUUAGCAUAGCAUGGUCCGGAAUAAGACAGCAGGGAUGGGGGCUGCCCUGAGGAGUUUCUGGAUACACAGUCUCACCAGAGUUGUCUUGCACACAACCUGUAGGUAAAAAUCGGUAGCAAAUUCACUCAGAUUCAGAAGGAAGAACAGAAGCUUCAUCUCUCAAUGAGAGGAUUGCCCUAUCAGUACUUCCAAAAGUGAAAAUGGGAACUGCAUUAAAAGACAAGUAAGAUACCCUUCCAUUUUUUCUUACAGUAGGAUAUUUUCCUCCUUUAUUGCAAUAAAAGACUGGUUUAUUCUCUGGAAAGAGUAAAAUGUCUGUUCCUGUGUCUGCAAAACACCUGAUGGAGUUGAGAUCAAAGGUAUGAAAGGGAAACUAGGCAUUAGGAAGUGUAUGUAUACUGGGUGCUAAUAGUCCCCAGUCCUCCUUUCCCCUUAACCCACAGAACACAGGUACCAGUCUACCCUCUGGGCA
rnacentral:lncRNA from 1 species